rnacentral:sRNA from 1 species
GUUAAUUCAACAAUAAAUGGGGAUGUGUCUUUCAUCAAGUGGUUAAGUCCAUUUGAAUCCGUUUUUCCUACUAAAGUUGAAUUCUAUUAAAUCACGUUACUUUGCAUAGUAGAAAUUAAUUAUAAAUCGACCUUCUCAAAGUAAAUAUGUCAAAAGAAAAA